UAUACGACCGUACCGCAAACCGACACUGGUGCGCGAGAUGAGUAUUCUAAGGCGCUUGAGAGAACUCAGGAGAAGGAACUCGGCAAAUUGACACCGUAACUUCGGAAGAAGGUGUGCCCUAUUAGUGUGUAGUGAACAACGAAGCAUGAAUGGGUUGCAAAAAAUCGGUGGCUGCGACUGUUUAUUAAAAACACAGCACUCUGCAAACACGAAAGUGGACGUAUAGGGUGUGACGCCUGCCCGGUGCUGGAAGAUUAAAUGAUGGGGUGCAAGCUCUUGAUUGAAGUCCCAGUAAACGGCGGCCGUAACAAUAACGGUCCUAAGGUAGCGAAAUUCCUUGUCGGGUAAGUUCCGACCUGCACGAAUGGCGUAACGAUGGCCACACUGUCUCCUCCUGAGACUCAGCGAAGUUGAAAUGUUUGUGAUGAUGCAAUCUCCCCGCGGAAAGACGGAAAGACCCCAUGAACCUUUACUGUAGCUUUGUAUUGGACUUUGAACAGAUCUGUGUAGGAUAGGUGGGAGGCUUUGAGGCAGGGUCGCUAGAUCUUGUGGAGCCAACGUUGAAAUACCACCCUGGUGUGUUUGAGGUUCUAACCUAGGUCCAUUAUCUGGAUCGGGGACAGUGCAUGGUAGGCAGUUUGACUGGGGCGGUCUCCUCCCAAAGCGUAACGGAGGAGUUCGAAGGUACGCUAGUUACGGUCGGACAUCGUGACGAUAGUGCAAUGGCAUAAGCGUGCUUAACUGCGAGACUGACAAGUCGAGCAGAUGCGAAAGCAGGACAUAGUGAUCCGGUGGUUCUGUAUGGAAGGGCCAUCGCUCAACGGAUAAAAGGUACUCUGGGGAUAACAGGCUGAUACCGCCCAAGAGUUCAUAUCGACGGCGGUGUUUGGCACCUCGAUGUCGGCUCAUCUCAUCCUGGGGCCGUAGCCGGUCCCAAGGGUAUGGCUGUUCGCCAUUUAAAGAGGUACGUGAGCUGGGUUUAAAACGUCGUGAGACAGUUUGGUCCCUAUCUUCCGUGGGCGCUGCAGAUUUGAGGAAGCCUGCUCCUAGUACGAGAGGACCGGAGUGGACACACCUCUGGUGUAUCGGUUGUCACGCCAGUGGCAUUGCCGAGUAGCUAAGUGUGGAAGAGAUAACCGCUGAAAGCAUCUAAGCGGGAAACUCGUUUCAAGAUGAGAUCUGCCGGGGCCUUGAGCCCCCUAAAGAGUCGUUCGAGACCAGGACGUUGAUAGGUCAGGUGUGGAAGUGA
rnacentral:rRNA from 1 species